rnacentral:lncRNA from 1 species
GUCCUGGCCCGGGACAAGGGUGCUCCAGUCGGGAAAGAAACAUUUAUCUUUAUGAUUUUUUGGUACAAGUAUAAAUGCGAGAGCCAGUAUAUUAUCUACUAGAAAAUAUCAUAGAAUGUCAUAGAGAUAUGCUUCUAUUUACCUAAGGUCGACUCUCCUAAUUAAUGAAUUUGUAACAUUUCAUCUUUGUAAUCAUGAUAUGAUCAUA